rnacentral:rRNA from 1 species
GACGGAGGGAGCGAACGUUGCUCGGAUUCACUGGGCAUAAAGGGCACGUAGGCGGUCCUGUCAGUGGAGUGUGAAAGACCCUGGCUCAACCAGGGGCCCGCAUUCCAUACUGCAGGGCUAGAGGUCGAGAGGGGUGAGCGGAACUCCUGGUGGAGCGGUGAAAUGCGUAGAUAUCAGGAGGAACACCGAUGGCGAAGGCAGCUCACUGGCUCGAUUCUGACGCUGAGGUGCGAAAGCCAGGGUAGCGAACGGG